GACGAACGCUGGCGGCGUGCUUAACACAUGCAAGUCGAACGGAAAGGCCCUGCUUGCCGGGUACUCGAGUGGCGAACGGGUGAGUAACACGUGGGUGAUCUGCCCUGCACUUCGGGAUAAGCCUGGGAAACUGGGUCUAAUACCGGAUAGGAGCCAUUUUUAGUGUGAUGGUUGGAAAGUUUUUUCGGUGUAGGAUGAGCUCGCGGCCUAUCAGCUUGUUGGUGGGGUAAUGGCCUACCAAGGCGGCGACGGGUAGCCGGCCUGAGAGGGUGGACGGCCACAUUAGGGCUGAGAUACGGCCCAGACUCCUACGGGAGGAAGCAGUGGGGAAUAUUGCACAAUGGGCGCAAGCCUGAUGCAGCGACGCCGCGUGGGGGAUGACGGCCUUCGGGUUGUAAACUCCUUUCGCUAGGGACGAAGCUUUUUGUGACGGUACCUAGAGAAGAAGCUCCGGCUAACUACGUG
rnacentral:rRNA from 1 species